CGCGUCCCCUGCAUCGGCAGGCGGACUCUCAACCACGGCGCCACCAGCGAAGCGCUUGUAUCGUUUUUGAUAUAGCUUUUAUAUAGGCUGGAUAUCACACACAUAUCGAAUCUAUGAUUUGCAAAUAUUUUCUCCCAUUAAAUGGGUGGGUUUUUCACUUUCUCAGUCGAUUGAUGAGCCGAAUUUUUCUUUCCAUGAAGUCCAACUUACGCAUUUUUGUUUUCUGUUCAGCUGCUGGAAGGCAAGGGCAUGGGGUGGGCUGAUACCCCGGGCACACGGGUUCGGCAUCGGGUGGAUGAGGAAAGCCUGGAAGACCAACGCCCAGAGUUCUCCUGGGAGCGGAAGGACACAGGAUUGAGCAGAUGAUUCCAUCCUGGUCCCACUUUCCUGCAGGGCAGUCGGGGCGCGUCGCAGUACAGGUGAUUCUGACGGCCAUCUGGGAAGCGGCUGUCAAGAUCCCGCUACUCUUCUUGGUCCUCAUCGCCCUCCUAGUGACGUCCCGCAGGAGGAAGGCAGCCAGGCCUGCAGGGGGCGUGUCAGAUGCAAACGCCAUUCCAGGUUACCCCUCUGGCAUCCAAUAAUCACUAUGUGCUGUCCAUCCUUCCUCCUAAGCACAGCUCGUCCUGAUGCCCGUCCCCUUCCCAUCUUGACCCCAGUCGUUCCAGCAGCCUCCUCUCUUCCCUGGGUCUCUGAGCCCACCCACCUCCUGCCUCCAUCUCCCUGGGAAACACAGGCCUCCGCACUGUUCGCAGAGACCGCUACCAUCCACUUGCUGCACAGCAGGGACAGCUGUGUUUCCUCUCCACGGCCAGAGACCAAGGUGCACACACCACUGGCUGGAUUUGCAGCCCUGGCGGGCUCUGCCCUGCUGGACCCUCCACCCAGAUCCCUCCUCUCCCUGCAUCUCCCCACGUCUCCACACCCAGCCUGGCCUGACCUCUGUGACUCUGAGACUUUGUAUGUGCAGUCCCUCCCCUGAAACAUCCUUCACUCCCCAUUCCUGCCUCUCCAAGUCCUGAGAAUAUCCUCAGGCUCAGGCUUAAAUGUCAGCGCGUGUGAGUGUGUGUGUGUGUGUGUGUGUGUGUGUUUUAUUGUCUGGUUUUGGGUGGAAGAGUGGCAUACACUUAAUUAUAGACUAUUCGGCAAGAACUAUUGAACAUGUACUCUGUGCCCCCUUGUUGGAGGUUCCCAGGGCGCAUCAGUGAGGACAGCAUCAAACAUCUCUGUCAUCGGGCUUCCCGGGUGGCACAGUGGUUGA